UACAGAGGUCUCAAGCGUUGAUCGGAUUCAUUGGGCGUAAAGGGUGCGUAGGCGGCGCGGUAAGUCGGGUGUGAAAUCUCGGAGCUUAACUCCGAAACUGCAUUCGAUACUGCCGUGCUUGAGGACUGGAGAGGAGACUGGAAUUUACGGUGUAGCGGUGAAAUGCGUAGAUAUCGUAAGGAAGACCAGUGGCGAAGGCGGGUCUCUGGACAGUGCCUGGCGCUGAGGCACGAAGGCCAGGGGAGCAAACGGG
rnacentral:rRNA from 1 species